CCUACGGGAGGCAGCAGUGAGGAAUAUUGGUCAAUGGACGAGAGUCUGAACCAGCCAAGUAGCGUGAAGGAUGAAUGCCCUAUGGGUUGUAAACUUCUUUUAUAUGGGAAUAAACUGUUCCACGUGUGGGAUUUUGUAUGUACCAUAUGAAUAAGGAUCGGCUCACUCCGUGCCAGCAGCCGCGGUAAUACGGAGGAUCCGAGCGUUAUCCGGAUUUAUUGGGUUUAAAGGGAGCGUAGGUGGAUUGUUAAGUCAGUUGUGAAAGUUUGCGGCUCAACCGUAAAAUUGCAGUUGAAACUGGCAGUCUUGAGUACAGUAGAGGUGGGCGGAAUUCGUGGUGUAGCGGUGAAAUGCUUAGAUAUCACGAAGAACUCCGAUGGCGAAGGCAGCUCACUGGACUGCAACUGACACUGAGGCUCGAAAGUGUGGGUAGCAAACAGGAUUAGAUACCCGGGUAGUC
rnacentral:rRNA from 1 species